rnacentral:rRNA from 1 species
CGCUGGCGGCGUGCUUAACACAUGCAAGUCGAACGAUGAAGCCUUAGCUUGCUAAGGUGGAUUAGUGGCGCACGGGUGAGUAAUAUAUAGAUAACGUGCCUCUUAGUCUGGGAUAGCCAUUGGAAACGAUGAUUAAUACUAGAUACUCCUUCUCAUUAUAAUAUGAGUCGGGAAAGUUUUUCGCUAAGAGAUCGGUCUAUAUCCCAUCAGUUAGUUGGUAAGGUAACGGCUUACCAAGACAAUGACGGGUAGCGGGUUUGAGAGGAUGAUCCGCCACACUGGUACUGAGACACGGACCAGACUCCUACGGGAGGCAGCAGUGAGGAAUAUUGCACAAUGGGGGAAACCCUGAUGCAGCAACGCCGCGUGGAGGAUGACGCAUUUCGGUGUGUAAACUCCUUUUAUAGGUCAAGAAAAUGACGGUAGCCUAUGAAUAAGCACCGGCUAACUCCGUGCCAGCAGCCGCGGUAAUACGGAGGGUGCAAGCGUUAUUCGGAAUCACUGGGCGUAAAGGACACGUAGGCGGGAAGCCAAGUCUGAUGUGAAAUCCUAUGGCUUAACCAUAGAACUGCAUUGGAAACUGGUUACCUAGAGUAUGGGAGGGGGAGAUGGAAUUAGUGGUGUAGGGGGUAAAAUCCGUAGAUAUCACUAGGAAUACCUAAAGCGAARGCGAUCUCCUGGAACAUUACUGACGCUAAKGUGUGAAAGCGUGGGGAGCAAACGGGAUUAGAUACCCCGGUAGUCCACGCCCUAAACGAUGUUCACUAGUCGUCGGGAUGCUAGUCAUCUCGGUGAUGCACUUAACAGAUUAAGUGAACCGCCUGGGGAGUACGGUC